UAGGGAAUCUUCCGCAAUGGACGAAAGUCUGACGGAGCGACGCCGCGUGAGUGAUGAAGGUCUUCGGAUCGUAAAACUCUGUUGUUAGGGAAGAAUAAGUAUCGACCUAACAAGUCGGUACCUUGACGGUACCUAACCAGAAAGCCCCGGCUAACUACGUGCCAGCAGCCGCGGUAAUACGUAGGGGGCAAGCGUUGUCCGGAAUUAUUGGGCGUAAAGGGCGCGCAGGCGGUCUUUUAAGUCUGAUGUGAAAUCUCGUAGCUUAACUACGAGCGGUCAUUGGAAACUGGAAGACUUGAGGACAGAAGAGGAGAGUGGAAUUCCACGUGUAGCGGUGAAAUGCGUAGAGAUGUGGAGGAACACCAGUGGCGAAGGCGGCUCUCUGGUCUGUAACUGACGC
rnacentral:rRNA from 1 species